rnacentral:rRNA from 1 species
GACGAACGCUGGCGGCGUGCUUAACACAUGCAAGUCGAACGGAAAGGCCCUGCUUGCAGGGUGCUCGAGUGGCGAACGGGUGAGUAACACGUGGGUGAUCUGCCCCUUACUUUGGGAUAAGCCUGGGAAACUGGGUCUAAUACUGGAUAGGACCAUGCUGUAGGUGGUGUGGUGGAAAGAUUAGUUUCGGUAAGGGAUGAGCUCGCGGCCUAUCAGCUUGUUGGUGGGGUAAUGGCCUACCAAGGCGUCGACGGGUAGCCGGCCUGAGAGGGUGGACGGCACAUUUGGGCUGGGAAACGGGCCCGAAUCCUACGGGGGGGAGCAGUGGGGGAUAUUUGACAAUGGGGGCAAGGCUGAUGCAGCGACGCCGCGGGGGGGAUGACGGCCUUCGGGUUGUAAACUCCUUUCAGCCAUGACGAAGCCCUUGUGGUGACGGUAGUGGUAGAAGAAGCACCGGCUAACUACGUG